GGAUUUUUUAUUAUUUAUAUUUGUAUUGGGGAUUUCUAGGGCUUUUCCACAAUUGGAACUUGGGAUAGGACUGAUCUUGAUCUCUAAUACUACAAGAAUGUGGCUUCUGGUCUAAAUGUAAUUAUCCAAAUAGAAAGAUGGAGAAAUAUGGUCAAGUUGCAGCAACAGAAGCUUCUGAUGACGGUGGAUGAUGUUUAUAAAGGGAGCUAACACCAGAUAAAAUUAAGCGAAUGACCUUCUAGAGCAAGAUUGUGGGAAUCGAAAACGAUGCAAGCUGGAGCUAUACUGAAUUUGACAGACAUAUCUGUGACUGCAAAAAUUGACGGCACUUGGGGAUCUAACAAAUAAUGUUUGUGAUCUUAAUGUAACUAAUGAUGGGCCUGAAGUGUAUGAGACAUGUACAGCUCAUUUACUUUUCCCUCCGGUAAGUUAUGAGUUAAUCUUUUGUUGUAAAUGUGUAUUCGCUUGAAAACGGUCUUAGAUUUGGUUGGAUGCUUAUGCGAAUUCCCCUAUAAAU